UGUUUCCCAGAUACUUGAGUAUGUGAUUAAUGAGCAUGAGAGUGGAAGAUAAGUUUACUUGUUGUACCUAGUAAAUCCUGGUUCUAUGUGCGGAUAGGUGAUUUAUUUUGCCUUGUGUGCAUUGUAAGGGUUGUUCGGGUAUUGAGUCUUCCUUGUGUGGGGGUGAAAGUGUGGUCUUUGUCCUUGUGUGGCGAGAUUACAUGUUCUUUAGCUGGAUUGCGGGACUAUUCGAGCAGAUUUGUAGGAGAGGCUACAAAUGAUCUACAGGGGAGACUACAAAUGUUCUGUAUGGGGAAUCUACAAGUGGGCUAUAGGAGCAACUAUAGUUAGUGAGGUAGGGUACAAA
rnacentral:lncRNA from 1 species